rnacentral:rRNA from 1 species
UACGGUAGGAGGCGAGCGUUGUCCGGAAUUACUGGGUGUAAAGCGCGUGUAGGCGGCCUGCCAAGUCUGCUGUGAAAGCGCCUGGCUUAACCGGGCGAGGUCGGUGGAAACUGGGCGGGCUGGAGGCCGGUAGAGGGGGGUGGAAUUCCCGGUGUAGUGGUGAAAUGCGUAGAGAUCGGGAGGAACACCAGUGGCGAAGGCGGCCCCCUGGGCCGGGCCUGACGCUGAGACGCGAAAGCGCGGGGAGCGAACGGG